rfam:Oryza nivara chromosome 1, whole genome shotgun sequence.
GACAAGCGCAGUUUUACACUGUUAUCCAACAUUUGACCGUUUGUCUUAUUUUAAAUUUUUAUUGUUAUUAGAUGAUAAAACAUAAAUAGUACUUUAUGUUUGACUAAUAUUUCCUAAUUUUUUCAUAAAUUUUUCAGAUAAGAUGGACGGUCAAACGUUGGAUACGGAUACCCAUAGCUGCACUUAUU